UGUGGUGCUGAUAUUUAUGGUGGAUACACCUGUUCCCAUCCCGAACACAGCAGUUAAGCACUAUAAAGCCCAAGGUAGCUAGCAAUAGUCAGAAUAGGUCGUGCCACGC
rnacentral:rRNA from 1 species